rnacentral:tRNA from 4 species
UGGGGAAUCGUCUAAUGGUAGGACAGCGGACUCUGACUCCGUCAAUCCUGGUUCGAGUCCAGGUUCCCCAGCCA